rnacentral:rRNA from 1 species
CCCUUAGAUGUUCUGGGCCGCACGCGCGCUACACUGAUGCAUUCAACGAGCCUAUCCUUGACCGACAGGUCCGGGUAAUCUUUGAAUCUGCAUCGUGACGGGGAUAGAUUAUUGCAAUUAUUAAUCUUCAACGAGGAAUGCCUAGUAGGCGCAAGUCAUCAGCUUGCGUCGAUUACGUCCCUGCCCUUUGUACACACCGCCCGUCGCUCGUACCGAUUGGGUGUGCUGGUGAAAUGUUCGGAUCGGCCGUUUGUCGCGGUUUCCGCGUCAUGUGGCUGAGAAGUUCAUUAAACCCUCCCACCUAGAGGAAGGAGAAGUCGUAACA